UGAGUAACACGUAUCCAACCUGCCGUCUACUCUUGGACAGCCUUCUGAAAGGAAGAUUAAUACAAGAUGGCAUCAUGAGUUCACAUGUUCACAUGAUUAAAGGUAUUCCGGUAGACGAUGGGGAUGCGUUCCAUUAGAUAGUAGGCGGGGUGACGGCCCACCUAGUCUUCGAUGGAUAGGGGUUCUGAGAGGAAGGUCCCCCACAUUGGAACUGAGACACGGUCCAA
rnacentral:rRNA from 1 species